rnacentral:rRNA from 1 species
CGAGCGGCGGACGGGUGAGUAAUACUUAGGAAUCUACCUAGUAGUGGGGGAUAGCUCGGGGAAACUCGAAUUAAUACCGCAUACGACCUACGGGAGAAAGGGGGCAACUUGUUGCUCUCGCUAUUAGAUGAGCCUAAGUCGGAUUAGCUAGAUGGUGGGGUAAAGGCCUACCAUGGCGACGAUCUGUAGCUGGUCUGAGAGGAUGAUCAGCCACACCGGAACUGAGACACGGUCCGGACUCCUACGGGAGGCAGCAGUGGGGAAUAUUGGACAAUGGGGGCAACCCUGAUCCAGCCAUGCCGCGUGUGUGAAGAAGGCCUUUUGGUUGUAAAGCACUUUAAGCAGUGAAGAAGACUCCGUGGUUAAUACCCACGGACGAUGACAUUAGCUGCAGAAUAAGCACCGGCUAACUCUGUGCCAGCAGCCGCGGUAAUACAGAGGGUGCAAGCGUUAAUCGGAAUUACUGGGCGUAAAGCGAGCGUAGGUGGCUUGAUAAGUCAGAUGUGAAAUCCCCGGGCUUAACCUGGGAACUGCAUCUGAUACUGUUAGGCUAGAGUAGGUGAGAGGAAGGUAGAAUUCCGUGUAGCGGUGAAAUGCGUAGAGAUCUGGAGGAAUACCGAUGGC